GACGAACGCUGGCGGCGUGCUUAACACAUGCAAGUCGAACGGAAAGGCGCUGCUUUUGUGGGGUGCUCGAGUGGCGAACGGGAGAGUAACACGAGAGUAACCUACCCUUGACUUUGGGAUAGCUUCACGAAACUGGGGCUAGUACCGGAUAGGAGCUCCUGCUGCAUUGUGGGGGUUGGAAUGUUUCGGCGGUUGGGGAUGGGCUCGCGGCUUAUGAGCUUGUUGGGGGGGUAGUGGCUGACGAGGGCUUUGAAGGGUAGCCGGCCUGAGAGGGUGACCGGCCACAUUGGGACUGAGAUACGGCGCAGACGCCUACGGGAGGCAGCAGUGGGGAAUAGUGCACAAUGGGCGGAAGGCGGAUGCAGCAACGCCGCGUGCGGGAUGACGGCCUUCGGGUUGUAAACCGCUUUCGCCUGGGACGAAGCGGGAGUGACGGUAAUGGGUAAAGAAGCACCGGCUAACUACGUG
rnacentral:rRNA from 1 species